GCGAAAGUGGCGGAAUUGGUAGACGCCCUGGUUUUAGGUACCAGUGCCUCACGGCGUGCGGGUUCGAGUCCCGCCUUUCGCACCA
rnacentral:tRNA from 4 species